UAAGGAAAUUGAAAUAUCCUGGGAUGAAGUAUACAUUAAAGAGAUCCUGACGGGCAUUAAGGCAUUUGGGGCACCUCCAAAUUUAGUGGGAGAUACCAAAUCAAAUAUGGAGCCGUCAGCCUUCGACUCGCCUGCUAAUCUCCACAACUCUUCCACUGCAAAGCCGAUAAGUUGCAUUAGAUUUAAACUAAUACAUGGAGACCGGGCAUUCGCGGAUUCUGCCAGGCCAAUGGCUGAGCCACGUCGGUUUAUUGUGAAACUUAAAGCUCCGCACUUGCUGAAGAGACAGGACCUUGGUCGAAUAUACUAUGAUCUGAUGACACUGCACAAGCGUGAGGGAUCACCGAAUUGAAUAAAAUGAAUACAUGAAACCAUUAUUACCCACAAGGCAACAAGGAAGGAG